rnacentral:rRNA from 1 species
UCGGGAAUAUUGCGCAAUGGAGGAAACUCUGACGCAGUGACGCCGCGUAUAGGAAGAAGGUUUUCGGAUUGUAAACUAUUGUCGUUAGGGAAGAAAAAAUGACAGUACCUAAGGAGGAAGCUCCGGCUAACUACGUGCCAGCAGCCGCGGUAAUACGUAGGGAGCAAGCGUUAUCCGGAUUUAUUGGGUGUAAAGGGUGCGUAGACGGGCGAUCAAGUUAGUUGUGAAAUCCCUCGGCUCAACUGAGGAACUGCAACUAAAACUGGUUGUCUUGAGUGCAGGAGAGGUAAGUGGAAUUCCUAGUGUAGCGGUGAAAUGCGUAGAUAUUAGGAGGAACACCAGUGGCGAAGGCGACUUUCUGGACAGUAACUGACGUUGAGGCACGAAAGUGUGGGGAGCAAACAGGAUUAGAUACC